GUGCUUGCUUUGGCAGUCCAUAUACUAAAAUUGGAACACUACAGAGAAGAUUAACAUGGCCUCUGUGCAAGGGUGACACACAAAGUCGUGAAGCAUUCCAUGUUUUU
ensembl:snRNA U6 U6 spliceosomal RNA